rnacentral:rRNA from 1 species
AUGGCACCCGCCGUCGUGAGGCGGGCCCACUUCUCGAGCUCCUGCCCGUCGGCCGGCCGGCGGCAGCUCGGCGGGAGGGCGGAUCGGGUCUCGCUGGCUCCCCGCGAGGCCUCGCCGCCGCGCGUUUCAUGGGAGCAGGGAUCUGGGGUGCCCAUCAGGGGACGAGUCUGGGCCAAGGCCGGUGGUUCGUUCCAGCAAGAUCGCAGUGGGGUGGGCGCUGCGUCACCUUCUCCUCUGCAGGGUGUGGAGGAGGGCAGAGUUGAUUUUCUCAAGAUUCUCAAGAGUGCCAACUCCAUUAUUCCCCAUGUAGUGCUGGGGAGCACCAUUCUUGCGCUGCUGUACCCACCUUCGUUUACAUGGUUCACAACCAGAUACUACGCACCGGCAUUGGGGUUCUUGAUGUUUGCUGUAGGUGUCAAUUCAAGCGUCAAGGACUUCAUUGAAGCAAUAAAAAGGCCAGGUGCUAUCGCUGCUGGCUAUAUUGGACAGUUUAUUGCCAAGCCUUUCUUUGGAUUCCUAUUUGGCACUCUUGCAGUUACAACUUUCAACCUUCCUACUGCUGUAGGUGCUGGUAUCAUGUUGGUUUCAUGUGUGAGCGGAGCACAACUGUCAAACUAUGCGACGUUCCUGACCGAUCCACAUAUGGCUCCCCUCAGCAUUGUUAUGACAUCGUUGUCGACAGCUAGUGCGGUUUUUUUUACCCCAACUUUAUCUUACUUGCUUAUCGGCAAGAAAUUACCUGUUGACGUUGUAGGAAUGAUGUCCAGCAUUGUCCAAAUAGUGGUUGCUCCAAUUGCAGCUGGAUUGCUUCUGAAUAGAUUUCUCCCAAGACUCUGUUCGGCUAUCCAGCCAUUUCUCCCUCCACUAUCGGUGUUUGUGACUGCUUUAUGUGUUGGCUCACCAUUGGCUAUAAAUAUCAAGGCUGUUUUGUCACCGUAUGGACUAUCCAUUGUGUUUCUGCUUUUUGCAUUCCAUACAACAUCUUUUGUAGCUGGGUAUCAUCUUGCUGGUACUUGGUUCCACAAGUCAGCUGAUGUGAAGGCCCUGCAAAGAACGAUAUCUUUUGAGACAGGGAUGCAAAGUAGCCUUCUUGCUCUUGCUUUAGCAAACAGGUUCUUCCCAGACCCUCUGGUGGGAGUGCCUCCAGCAGUAUCAGUUGUGCUCAUGUCCCUGAUGGGGUUUGGUCUUGUCAUGCUAUGGUCCAAGAAAACACAAGUGUAG